CUCGGCAUGCCUUCAAAGUAAUAUCUGUUGAUAAGACACUACCAAGAGAUUCAGUAACAUGAAAGGAAGUGAAAGAGAUGAGUUCCAUAUCGUGGCAUAAAUGCAUCCUAACAUUCAUGAGAAGAUAUGUACCUGCCAACUAGAGGUGAGUUUUUUUAUUUUUUCAAAAUUAUGUUAUACAUCAUGCUGUUUAACACGAUAUGUGGUUUAUCCUGUAUUAAAAACUGUAAUUUCGUAAUAUAUGUAUUUUGAUGAUGAUAGUUAGAUAGAGACAACCUUUUGUCAACGGACUUACUUGGCCUACUGACAGAAAGUAAACUUCAAUAUGUUUUUGGCUUCUGAUGUUGAGGACUCUAUGAUGGAAUACAUGCUGAGGAUGCAGAGACUGCGGAAGAAACAGAUACUGAGCUGAGGGUAAGGUCUCAGUAUUUUCAGUAAUUAAGCUUUGCUAUCAUUCUUUUGAUUUCUUUGUUCUGUAAUUCCUUGUUGUAGUGUGAACAGUGCGAUUUGCUUGAGUUUCCUGAGGAAAAAAUAAAUUGUUUUUUCUUUACAUGAAAGCAGAAGGAAAGUAACAAAUUUUAUUGCCGUUUGACUGAUGUUUCUGUUUGUAAGACUAUUGAAAAGAUUUCACUAUACGCUAGCUAUUUCAUUUAUUAAGCUAUGGAUUAUUUUUCUCACCUAAUUAAACAAUUCAACGGAUUUAUGCAGGUAGGUUCUUUCUCAUCUAUCUAUCUAUAUAUAUAAAGUUGGGACAAUAGAAGAUGAGUUGGCACCUCUCUUUGGCCAAGGAUUCUAUUUAUCUUUUUUCUCUCUCUCUCUCUUUUUUUUUUUUUUUUUUUUUUUUUUU
rnacentral:lncRNA from 1 species